GCAGUUUGUGGCUGGUUGGAAUUCUUUAGUUCUUUUUUAGCAAUAGAAAGAGAAAACUCUUCGUCUCUCUUAAGAUUCAAUGGAAACAGUGGGAUACUGAUAUACCCAAUGUAGUUUAUGUACAGAAAGCAUAACCAAGCAUGAACAAAUAACAAGAAAAAACAACCCACUGGGCAACAUUUCAUCUUUAUUACUAAGACAAUAAACAGCAAAACCUUGGACAGGUUAGUAUACUUUUACUUAUAUAAGGACAUAAAUAUAUGCAGCAGCUUUGCUCAUCUACUUCUGAGGUAACACUGUAAUGUUCAACUUUAGAAACAGGACAUAAUAUUACACCCCAACAUUGUUUUAAUGCAUGGAGAAUUAUCCUGGUAUGAUGGUCUGAAAUCACUUUCUAAAAUAAAUGAGACACUAAUAUCAUGAACUUUGUACUGUUAGACAGUUAAACAGACAGAGCAUGUCAGAUUCCCAUUACAAUCAUAUGGACAAUAAAACUACUGUCCUUAGUUUUAGCUAACUGCAAAAUGAAUUUUUAAGAGAACACAUUAACUGCAUCAUACUCUUUACGCACUAUUUAAUACAUUUACAUUCCCUAAAAUGAUAAGUUAAACCAUUUAAUUAUUUCUUCUUACUGGGCAACAGUGUGAAUUUCAUACACACAGUUGAAACUGCGCUGCACAAUUAGUUUCACAAUCUUGAGAA